GAUUGUUAUUCCAUAGCUAGCUGGAUGUAAUCAUGGUAAUUUCCAAGUCUCCUAGUUUAGGAGAUUUUCUUCCUCUUCCCACUUGUAUUAUAUAUUGAAGGGUUGUAGAAACUUGAUGUAUAUAAAAGAAAUAAAAAAGAAUUAUUCUUGUCGUCAAUAGCUUAAUGUCGUCCGACUCCUCUUACGGUGAGGCAGAAAUCAAUUCUGCAAUAAACUCAACUAGAAGAGAAAAUACUUCUUUUCAACUAACGGUAGAGAAGUUGAAUGGAAGAAAUUUCAGGGAGUGGGUGCAAUCAAUUAAAUUGGUAAUCGGGGCAAAGGAAAGCUCGAUUACCUGACUAGAGAAGCUAAAAAGCCAGCUGAUUAUGUUCUCUUGCAAAAGUAGAAAUCUGAAAACUCGAUGGUCAUGGCGUGGUUGGUGAAUUCGAUGAAUCCAUCCAUUGGAAAAAUAUAUCUUUUCCUACCAACGGCAAAAGAUAUAUUGGAAGUUGUCAAAGAAAUGUAUUCAAAUUCAGAAAACUCAUGCCAUAUCUUUGAAAUCAAAACGAGGCUGUGGCAAACCAAAUAAGAGGAGAGGGACAUUAUGGAUUACUACUUGGAAAUGAACUCUUUGUGGCAAGAACUCAAUCUCAGUGGCGAAGAAGAAUGAGAAUGUGCUGGAGAUAAUGUCAAGUAUAAGAAAAAGCUCGAAAACGAACGGGUUUAUGAAUUCCUUUCUGGCCUCAACCGCAAACUUGAUGAUGAAGAGGAAGAAAUUUGGCUCGACGGCAACUGUCCUCAACACACGAAGUCUUCGCUGAAGUACAGAGAGAAUAGAACUGUCGAAAAGUGAGAUGAAGACUGGGACAGCCUGAGAUACAGAGAUAUCUACGCUUCUGUCGACUGAAAUUAGAUUUGCUGGGUGUGAAAAUGGACCAUUAUAUAGGCGAAAGGUUGUGAAUAUAUCACGUGGGCCAGAAAAGAAUUAACUUGGGCCUGAAAUGAAUAAAUUUUGGCCCUCUUUUGGACUUGGAAACUUUGGAGCUAUUGGGCCUAUCAAAUUUGGGCCAGGGAUAACAAAUUUAUCAAAGGGAGCAACAACAAAAGGGACAGCCUUUGUGCGAACACUGUCACAAAUCGAGAAUAAAGAAGAUACCUGUUGGGACAUACAUGGGAAGUCCACUGAUUGGAAACCAAGAAAAAGUAUUAAAAAUCGUGUCUAUCAAGUUUCAGCCGAUCAGACAGGGACAUCUAAGGAAAUGAAAAAUGGAGAAUUCAACAGUUAGCAAUUAGAACAACUCUACCAGAUUUUCUUCUAGUCUCCAAACUUCGAGUCAUUCUUCUGCACACAAUCCUUAAAGCUCAUUAGCCCACAAAGGACCUAUCAUCGGGGACUACGAUUGGCAGUGCUAAAGAAUGUGAUGGACUUUACUAUUUUGACAAGGCUGAUGUGAGUACACAAUGUCAACCUGCAAUUUAUAAUUCUAUGUUUACCUAUAGGGAUAGUGAUAUUCUAUUGUGGCAUUGUAGAAUGAGCCAUCCCAAUUUUCAAUACUUACAACGUAUGCUUCCUUCUUUAUUUUCGAAUAAAACAUCUAUUUACUUUUAA